rnacentral:lncRNA from 1 species
AUACAUUGGGCCCAGCCUCCUGUUUCCUUGAAUUUGUUAUUCCCAGCUGUAGCGACCUAAAAAUUUCGGCACGGGCGCUAAUCGAAAUAAAUAUUGAAAAUUUGAAAACAGAAUCUCGAUCUAUUUGAAAAGGGAGUCGCCACCGAUCUUUUUUCAUAGGUGUGAUCGGACACCUAAUAAAUUCUCUUUUUAGAAGAAAAAUUUAUUUUUAAACUUUUCUAAAAAAGAGGUAAUUUUAGGUCUACGUGAAGAUCCAGAGAAAAUUAGAGUUCGGGAGUCGGUUACGCGCGAGGAAGGUAUUAGCACCCUCGCGACGCCCAAAAUUGGUAUCUCGUUAAACGCAUGUUGUCUUAAUUUUCAAAAAUACGAGUUCCAUUUAAUAUUUAGUCGUGAUCCGAUUGAAAUAUGAAAACUUUUUUUAAGACACGAGAAUUUUGAAGCACGAAAUUUUUUUUAAAAAAUUGAAAGUUUUUUUUUAAAACAUGAGAAUUUUUAAACACGGAAAUUUCAAAAACACGAAAAUUUUUAAAACACGACAUUUUUUUGAAACACGAGAAUUUUUAAAACAAGACAUUUUUUGAAACACAAUUUUUUUCUUAAAAAAAUUUAAAAUACGAGAAUUUUUAAAACACGAAAAUUUUUAAAACAUGAAAAUUUUUGAAACACGGAAAUUUUUUAGAAAACGAUUUUUUUUAAAAUCACCGGAGUUUUUGAAAACACGAAAAUCUUUGAAACACCGAAAUUUUUGAAAACACGAAAAUUUUUGAAACACCGAAAUUUUUGAAAACACGAAGAUUUUUUUUUAACACGGAAAUUUUUGAAACACGGUCAUUUUUUUUGAAAACACGAAAAUUUUUGAAAGACAUGAUUUUUUUGAAAAUACGGAAAUUUAUAAAACACGAAAAUUUUUUCUGAAAACAAGAAAAUUUUUGAAACACUAGAAUUUUGAAAACACGAUUUUUCUUUAACAAAUACCGUAUUUAACACGAAUCGAUGAUAUUCAUCCCGAUAUGGCGAUGAAACCAUCGAACUAGUGUUAACUCAAUUCAAUUUAAUAUUUAAUUGGGAUUCUAAUAAAACACAAGAAUUUUUAUUAAAAUACGAUGAUUUUUGAAUAUUUUUUUAAAAGGGCGUCCCGAAUUUAACACGAGCUAUCGAUAUCCACCCAACAUAGCGAUGAAUUCGAUGACUCUAUGCUAAAUCGGUUCGUUGCCUUAUGCAUUAAAAUAUUAUUAUUAUUAUUUUUUAAAAAAAUAUGCAAUUAAAAUGACAUAAUAAUAUUUAUGAAAACUAUUUUUAAACAUACUAAUUUAAAUUAAAUAAAACAACAUUUAAAUACAUUAAAUAAAACAAAAUAGAUUAAAAAAAUUACCCAAAAAGGCCCUUUUUCUUUUUUUCGGUUUGGGCCUCAGUUGGCCCGCUUCACUGCUGCAAUCGGCCCGCUGGAGCUGCUGGUAUAUUGGGCCUGCACUGGGUCAAGUCCAUUGGUGGUGGACUGCUGGUGGCUUACCAAAAAUGGGCUGCUGUUUUUAUUUUUUUAAUUACUUUUUAAUUACUUUUUUUCUUUCUUUUUCUUUCUCUUUUUUUCUUUCUUUUUUCUUCUUCUCUUUUUCUUGUCUCAAAGCCUUGGCCCUUCUUUUUCACCGCCGUCGGUGUCUCCUGGGUGCGGUGGUUGGACGGUCGCCGGCGUUCUCCUUUCCCUCCUCUCUUCUUCUUCUUUCUUCACUUCUUUCUACUUUACUUUUUUUUUUUGCUUGCUUGCUGCUAUUUUCCUUUCUUUUGUUUAUGCUUGCACAUUUCUUAGCUUGACUUCGGCGAGGAGCAACGAUGAUCGUUGCAUGGCGAUCGUGGUGGCGUGUGUACGGUGGCGGUGAGCGUGGGAUCGGCCCAUGGGAGUAUUUUUUUUGCUGCUGGAAUUUUCUGCUAUUUUUUUUUUUGCUUUUGGUUGCCGAAAAAAUCCCCCCUCCCUUCUCUUCAAUUUUUCUUUUUAAAAGCUCCAAAUUUUGUCCUCUUUCUCAUUGUUUGCAGGUAGUGGGUGAAGAAGGAGC